rnacentral:rRNA from 1 species
AUUGAACGCUGGCGGCAGGCUUAACACAUGCAAGUCGAGCGGAGAUGAGGUGCUUGCACCUUAUCUUAGCGGCGGACGGGUGAGUAAUGCUUAGGAAUCUGCCUAUUAGUGGGGGACAACAUUCCGAAAGGAGUGCUAAUACCGCAUACGCCCUACGGGGGAAAGCAGGGGAUCUUCGGACCUCGCGCUAAUAGAUGAGCCUAAGUCGGAUUAGCUAGUUGGUGGGGUAAAGGCCUACCAAGGCGACGGUCUGUAGCGGGUCUGAGAGGAUGAUCCGCCACACUGGGACUGAGACACGGCCCAGACUCCUACGGGAGGCAGCAGUGGGGAAUAUUGGACAAUGGGCGGAAGCCUGAUCCAGCCAUGCCGCGUGUGUGAAGAAGGCCUUUUGGUUGUAAAGCACUUUAAGCGAGGAGGAGGCUACCUGGAUUAAUACUCUAGGAUAGUGGACGUUACUCGCAGAAUAAGCACCGGCUAACUCUGUGCCAGCAGCCGCCGUAACAC